CCUACGGUGCGCUGCAGUCGAGAAUCAUUCACAAUGGGGGAAACCCUGAUGGUGCGACGCCGCGUGGGGGAAUGAAGGUCUUCGGAUUGUAAACCCCUGUCAUGUGGGAGCAAAUUAAAAAGAUAGUACCACAAGAGGAAGAGACGGCUAACUCUGUGCCAGCAGCCGCGGUAAUACAGAGGUCUCAAGCGUUGUUCGGAAUCACUGGGCGUAAAGCGUGCGUAGGCUGUUUCGUAAGUAGUGUGUGAAAGGCGCGGGCUCAACCCGCGGACGGCACAUGAUACUGCGAGACUAGAGUAAUGGAGGGGGAACCGGAAUUCUCGGUGUAGCAGUGAAAUGCGUAGAUUUCGAGAGGAACACUCGUGGCGAAGGCGGGUUCCUGGACAUUAACUGACGCUGAGGCACGAAGGCCAGGGGAGCGAAAGGGAUUAGAUACCCCGGUAGUC
rnacentral:rRNA from 1 species